rnacentral:misc_RNA from 1 species
UACAGAGACUCCAAGCGUUAUUCGGAUUCACUGGGCGUAAAGGGUGCGCAGGCGGCCAGAUGUGUCAGGGGUGAAAUACUGCAGCUUAACUGUAGAACUGCCUUUGAAACUAUCUGGCUAGAGUAUCGGAGAGGUAAGCGGAAUUCCAGGUGUAGCAGUGAAAUGCGUAGAUAUCUGGAGGAACACCGAAGGCGAAGGCAGCUUACUGGACGAUUACUGACGCUCAGGCACGAAAGCAUGGGGAGCAAACAGG